rnacentral:rRNA from 1 species
GAACCGAGCGAACGUUAUUCGGAAUCACUGGGCUUAAAGGGCGCGUAGGCGGGGUAGCGAGUCCGGGGUGAAAGCCCACGGCCCAACCGUGGAAGUGCCCCGGAUACCGCUACCCUCGAGGGAGGUAGGGGCGUGUGGAACUUCCGGUGGAGCGGUGAAAUGCGUAGAGAUCGGAAGGAACGCCGGUGGCGAAAGCGACACGCUGGACCUCUGCUGACGCUGAGGCGCGAAAGCCAGGGGAGCGAACGGGAUUAGAUACCCCGGUAGUCCUGGCCCUAAACGAUGGGUACUAGGUAGUAGACUGGACAUGGGUUUACUGCCGAAGCCAAAGUGUUAAGUACCCCGCCUGGGGAGUAUGGUCGCAAGGCUGAA